rnacentral:rRNA from 1 species
GACGAACGCUGGCGGCGUGCCUAAUACAUGCAAGUAGAACGCACAGUUUAUACCGUAGCUUGCUCCACCAUAGACUGUGAGUUGCGAACGGGUGAGUAACGCGUAGGUAACCUGCCUGGUAGCGGGGGAUAACUAUUGGAAACGAUAGCUAAUACCGCAUAAUAUUAAUUAUUGCAUGAUAAUUAAUUGAAAGGUGCAAUUGCACCACUACCAGAUGGACCUGCGUUGUAUUAGCUAGUAGGUGAGGUAACGGCUCACCUAGGCGACGAUACAUAGCCGACCGGAGAGGGUGAGCGGCCACACUGGGACGGGGACACGGCCCAGACUCCUACGGGAGGCAGCAGUAGGGAAUCCUCGGCAAUGGACGAAAGACUGACCGAGCAACGCCGCGUGAGUGAAGAAGGUUUUCGGAUCGUAAAGCUCGGUUGUAAGAGAAGAACGGGUGUGAGAGUGGAAAGUUCACACUGUGACGGUAUCUUACCAGAAAGGGACGGCUAACUACGUG